UGAACGCUAGCGGGAGGCUUAACACAUGCAAGUCGAGGGGUAACAGGCUGGAAUUUCGGUUUCGGUGCUGACGACCGGCGAACGGGUGAGUAACGCGUAUGCAACCUGCCUUUUACAGGGGGAUAGCUUUCGGAAACGGAAAUUAAUACCCCAUAACACUGCACUGUGGCAUCACAGAGCAGUUAAAGCUUCGGUGGUAAAAGAUGGGCAUGCGUAACAUUAGCUAGUUGGUGAGGUAAGGGCUCACCAAGGCUACGAUUUUUAGGGGACCUGAGAGGGUGAUCCCCCACACUGGUACUGAGACACGGACCAGACUCCUACGGGAGGCAGCAGUGAGGAAUAUUGGUCAAUGGACGGAAGUCUGAACCAGCCAUCCCGCGUGCAGGAAGACGGCCCUAUGGGUUGUAAACUGCUUUUCUGAAGGAAGAAUAACCCCGAGUUUCUCGGGGGACGACGGUACUUCAGGAAUAAGCAUCGGCUAACUCC
rnacentral:rRNA from 1 species